rnacentral:lncRNA from 1 species
CGGGCGUGCGCCGAAGUAGCCUCCUAUUGGCUGCCCGCUCGGGGCCUGGCGGGCACUCCGGCACGUGAUUGGCCGGCGCUGCCCCUGCGGGCCGAGCUCAUUGGCGGGCGCGGGGCCGGGGGCGGGGCGGGCCCCAGGAUUCCCGAGCGCGCGGCGGGGCCGGAGCGGGCGCCCGGCCGGAGCCGACCUGACGGCGGGCGCGGAGGGAGGGUGGGCGGCGGUCCCGGCCCGGCUGGGCGAGGCGGCGCUGGCGGCGCAGCCGAGUGUCGGGCGGCACGGCCCGCGGCGGCGCUUCGGCCGCGUCCGUCAGCGCCCCCUCCCUCCGCGCGCGGCGGCCCCGGCCGGCCCGUCAGCUGUCAGCGGCCGAGCGGCGGGACAAAGACCCGCCGCGGCCGGGACGGCGCCGGCCUCCGCCCGCCGGCCGCGGACAAUGCGGCUCCCGGGCGCCCGCCCGCGCGCGGGCCCAGAAGUUGGCGGCGUCUCCUCGGCGGCGGCCCGCGCUGUGGCGGCGGGAGGCCGGCGCGGGCGCGGCGAGGGGCGGCCGCAGCCCUGGAGAAUUGCUGUUGAAGAGGGACAAGAGAGGAGGACAACGCAGGAGGAGAUAAGUAGCUCUGGCUGGACACAAGGGCAGCACUGCGAGGGCAUCCCUGGGUGAGAGCCGCUCCUUGUGAGGAGCCCAGUGGAGCAAGAACCCCUGAAUGGGAGAGCUGAGCCGGCAGGUGGUGGAGGGGUGCAGCCUGGGAAGUGCUGACAAAGAUGUGCCUGGAGGAAGAGAGGGAUGAGGAGUGGGAGGAAAGUCCCUCCUUAGCCUGAUGGCUGGCAUGCCCUGACGCUCUGGAAUCCCCCUCCCUAGAGAGAAUGCCAGCCAAGGUGGGAGAGGAGGGGCUCCCACAGAGGGGGGCGUAGGGUAAUGACUACCAAAAGCUCUCUGAGGAGCUUGGAUAGCUGCUGUCUGGGGAACGCUGGCCUAGGUUGUAAUCAGUAUUAUUUUAAAGCAGAGUUUGGCAAAUGAAUAAAAAUAUGAUGAAUGAAUGAGCGACUGAAUGAAUUGUUUUCUCACCAAAGGAUCUGGAUAUUUGUUUCCACUCUUAAACGUUUUUUCAAUUAUUAAUUUUUUGUGCCCAAUUUACAAUGAAAACACCAUUUUUAUUGAAUUAUCAUUAACUAUUUCAUAUUUAUUCAAACCCACACCUUCCCCAACUCCACAGAUGAUUCAGAAGAGCUUAUAAUAAGCAAAACAUCAGACUAGGAAAGAGAGUGAGAGAAGUGAUUCCACCUCUCCAAGCCCCGUGUCCUCACCUGUGUGCUGAUGGUAAUGUACAUGACUGAUCAUACGUGGAAGGGACACCAUGAGAUCGUGCAUAAAAUGACAUUGCUGGACAUACAACACAAACGAUGUAGUAAAGUUAAGGCUAUAAACUUGAGGACACGGUUUAUCUAGCUUCUCAACUUAUUUCUCAUUACCAUUUUAUUAGAGAAUGUUAAUUGAAUUAAAAAUAUAUUAAUUUCUAGAGUAGAAGAGUUUUUAUUCUUUAUAAUUCUGUAAACUCUAUACUAUCCAAGAUAAUGCUUUGUUCCUAGAAUUUGCAUUUCUUAAUCUCCCAUGUGUCCACAAUCCAUGUGAAAAUGUUCUUUCAGCCUUCAGCCAUUUUUGAGAAGCAAGGACCAGGUAGGUCUAUAUUUCUAAUAAUUACCAAAAAAAAAAAAAUCAAGGGAAAGUUCAUCAUCAUUGCCAUUAGCAAGAAACAUAAUGAGAAUUAGAAGCCUUUGAAUUAGGCUAAAAGCAGUGUGGACUAGUAAGUGUAAAGUAUAAAUAGAAGAAGACGAAGAUUAAUUUUAAAGGGCAGAAUUUUGUACAUUUAUUUUACUUAGAUUUCAGAUCAGUUCUGUGUGUGCUUUCCACAUAAGGAAGCAGAGACCACUGUGUUUCUUGUCUUUGGGUGGGUUUUCUGAAGACAUGAUGAGGGCCAGAUGUCAGCACUGUUGACACAGUUGGCUGGAACCUUGGCCCCCAGAGAGAUGGUGGGUGGAAGGAUGCAGAGCAGAGCCUGCACACUGGGUCCUCUGCUGACAUGAAACACUCCCAUUCCUACAGUCCUACUGCAAGCAUCCAGAGGUCAGCGCAGGUGGCAAUGAGAUGGAUACGGAGAAGUGGGGAGCCAGGGGAAGAAGCAUCCUCGUUCUUUCCUGGGAUAGAGUCAUCUACAUGCACCUUUGCAUUUUCAUGGCCAAAGGAUUGUCCUAGUGUACAUAAAUAAAGUAAUGAUAACUUCCCCAACCUGCUGAUAAGUGCCUAAAAUCUCACCAUUCAAGUAUGGGCCAUUUAAUGUAAAUACUCUGCUAUCUUAAAAUCCGGAGAACUGGGUAUGUGAAUGGAAGGAGAUGGGGGAACUUGAGUGGCUGUAAUAUUUUAAGCUGUUCUUAGUUAUGCAUAGCUUAGGAAAAUGCAUGAUUAUAGAGUCAAUAAGAGGGUUCAAGACUGAGUGGUUUAGGGUAGUUAAGAAAAACUUGAAAACUUUAUCUGGGGCCAGUCUUAAACUGUCCACCACCAGAAUGAAUUAAUCCUUCCAACAGUUAAAACUAAUGUGGGGACGAUUAUAAAACCUGACCAGGGUAUAGACAUGAGAGCUGCACUUUUGGGUGGGGAGACUUAUAGGGACCUUGUGUGACAGGGCUAAGGCAGCCAAGAGUCCUGUGGUUUUGAACUAAGUAAGUAGUUUUCUGUGAGCAUUUCCAGGAUUAGAUCUGACAAAUCAGGGUCUCAUGUAUUGGACAUAAUUGAAUCUUGUUCUACUAUAUUCAUUUUUAAUUCAUGAUUUUUUAAUGGAUUCACUGGUCACGUUUCUCAGGUAGUGGCAAGACUUUUUAGUCUUAAGUAAAUUUAUUUAGUUCUGUCUUUCUGGAUUAGUGGGUCUCUGCCAGGAAGAUACAGCAGGAUCAUUUGAUAGCUUGUGCAGAAUACACACUGAGCACCCUCCCUACCUGAGUGAGCACCGCAGAGGGGAUGGGGCAAGAGGCCAUCCCGGCAUGUGGGUUAGAAGAGCCGUCCUGGUGAUUCUGUUGCCGCCCUCUCAUUUUGGGAAUUGCUGUUCCAAAUGGAACCAAUCCUGCUCAGUUACCAGAAAAUAAGCAAAUAGCUUAAACUACAUAACAGUGAGUCUUGCUUAAACCGACAAAAUUGCUCAGCCCUUGUUGGGAUAGGUCUGCUUUUCCUUUCACACAGAUUUCAUUUAGCUGAUGUCUUGCUAAAAAGCAGCCCAUAUGUACUGGCAGUGAAGCACUGUCGUUAUUAAAUGCCCUUCCACGUAUGAACCCUUGCAAUCAGAUCUUACCAUCUUCCAUGCUUUGUGCAGAAUCUUUUAUGUUUAUUCGUAGAGCUCUGAGCAAAGGGCUGCAUCUUCCAAGUUGUGCUAAGGUUUACUGCCUCUUUCACGUGUUCACUGAAUUGUUAUUUGAGGUUGUACACUUAGUGUGUACUAGUGACUGCUUUUCAUUCUUAAAGUUAUUAUAUAAAAGUGUAAGUUUCUGAGGCUUACACUUGGACAGGAGAUCUGUCACUGUGAGAAAAACUUAUAGGAGUAAAACUAUUUUCUUUUUGUGAACAGUUACUGCUACACAAUGUCUUCACAGGGUGUAGGGCUUGGUAUUUAUCUGUUUUAAUUAAACAGUGCCCUGCCUGUCUACCGGUGACUAACUUGAAAGCAGUGGGUGUCUCGGAGCAGCUCACAGGGCUGGCAGCUGUGCUGAGCCUGGUGAACUGACUCGCGCUGCAGGCACGGUGGCACAUGGACGCCAAGCGCUAAGAAUUUCUGGAAUGCAGAAUUGCAGGGCACUGAUAGAGUCUGCUUUGUUCCCCUCUGUGACUUGACCCAUUGAGAAAAUGUGGUUCCCUAGGAAGUUUUAAUAGUUCAAAGUCCUUAGUUAAUAACGAAAAAGGCCACAACAUAAUUCAGCUUGUUUUCACCUGCUGCCUCCAAGAUUAACUUUCCUAACCUUAAUGGGAAAGAGUUACCCUUGGCUUUGAGAGAGUAAUUUAUGGAGCUCUUCACGUUAGUUUGGGUAAACAUGACACUGUUUGUGUGCAUUUUGGUCUUGUUUCGGGUUUGGUGUCACUAACUCCUAAGACUUCUGCCACUUCAGAGCCUAUGGUCACUUCAUCUAAAAGCAAACCCCGGGAGAGGCGGCCCGCUUCUCGGCCCUCGCUUGGUCCUCCCUCCCUGGGAAGGGCGGCGGAGCUUCGCCUCGGGUCUCCCUCCUCCGUCUUCCUACGAGGACGGGAGCGGAGCGCCCCGCGCGGAUCUGCGGCGAGCGCGCCCCCGUCCAGCCGUAGGCGCUGCGCUUUGCAGGGCAAGUUCCGAUCCGCGAGGCGCUCGUGCCGGGCGGGCCGCGUGCUCGCUCUCGGCCUCUCCGAUGGGCGACGAGGGGCCGCCCGGGAGCGGGGUUCGGGGCGCAGGCGGUGGAGGACAGCAGCACGCAAGCCCUCUCUCGGCGGAACCCGGAGCGCGGGAAGCGGACCAUCGCCUUUUCGCCGUCUGAGUCCGCCGGCACGCGGCGUUGCGGUCAGGGCGCCCACUGCGUCGGGCCAGCGCGCCCCGCGCGGCCUCCCCGAGGACGCAGGCACCUGCGGGCCCGGCCCGGUCCCCGCGGGAGCCGCCUCGGCCGACACGUCUCCAGGCGACCUCCGCGGCUCACCCGGCCUUGGAGCGCAGAGGAGCCCGCGCCCCGGCAGCGGGCGCCUGUAAACACCCGACUGGAAGCCGUGGGCGGCGGGCUUUCAGUCGGGUGUCUGCAGCCGCCGCCUGCCCCGCCCCGCGCCGCGCUCGGCUGGCCGUCUCUGCGGCGCACUGCGCAAGCUGGGGAGGCGUCCGCGGAUGGCUCCGGACCAGCCCCGCGCCUCCGCGGGAGCCUGAUCUGCGCGCGCAGGAAGCAGUGUGAAGAGGCAGAGAAAGGGCCUGACUGUGGCUGUUGAGCAAGCGUUGCAUAUCUGCUUUAAACAUUUGCUAUGGCAAGAACAAAUGCCCUUAAGAUAAAGGUGCAACUUCCCCCAACAUUGGCAUUUCCUUAAGGAUAAGCAUCUCUCCCUAGGCUAGGAACUGACUGCUGUGCUCACCUGUGACCACCCAGCUUGAGACAGCAGAACUGCCACCCUACUGUGUCCACUGAGACAGCAGACCUACUACCUGCUGUUUCCAUCAAUCACUGUGCCAACAGAGCAGUCUCACAACUAUUGUAAAAGGGACAUUUCAAUCAUAUGUGAAACAUCCUCUUUGAGGAUACAUAACCACUCUGUGUACCCCACUUCUUUGGUGCCCUUUCUUUCGUCCUUCGGGAAGAAAGGCCCCAGGCCAUGGUCCUCACAUAUUGGCUCAGAAUCAACUUACCCAAAUUUUCUUUUAUCGAUUGGUUAUGGAUUAUUUUCGUCGACAUACAAUAGCAACAGAAACUGUGAAAUACCCCAAGGAUAAAUCUAGCAAAAGUUUUAUGAGACCUCUACAAUGGAAAUUAAACUCUAUUGAUUGAAAUUAAAGAAGAUGUGAAUAAAAUGGAGAGACACGCCAUGGCAAACAGGACUCAGCACUGUCCAGUGGCCGGUUCUCCCCGGGAGGGUCAAGUGGAUUCCAUGCAGCCUCAGGCAGGUCUGAGCGGACAUGUAUGUGCACAUUCGUGUUUGGAAACUGAUAGGCUAGUCCUAAAAUUUACAGUUUAAGUGACAAAGAAUAACAAGGCAGUCUUGAAGAAAAGGUGGAGAAAUUACCCUCCCACAUGUCAAGAUCUAUUAUAAAGUCAUAAAGUCAUAGUGUGGUAUUUGUGUAGCAACAAACAGAUAGCAGAUGGACGAACAAAUAGAGACACAUUACAAUGCAGACGACGCUGGGUGCACUGGAGGGAGGACAGUCACUCGAUAAGCAGUGCGAGGUCAAUCUGGUACCCUUACUGAAAACAACGAACUUUUGGCCUCUACUUCACACCAUUCAUAAAAAUCAAUUCCAGAUGGGUUGUAGAUCCAAAUAUGAAUAAAGCUUCUAGAAAAAAAUAUAGAACAUCUUUAUGAUCUUGGAGUUGGCAAAAUUUCAUUUAAAAGUUCACAAGACAACACUAACCAGAAAUAAUAAUUUGGAAAAUAAUAUCAUCAAGAAUUUCCGACACCAAAAGACAUCACUAAGAAAAUGAAAAGACAAUGUAUAGUGGCUGGCCCGGUGGUGUAGUGGUUAAGUUCAUGCUCUCUGUUUCAGCAGCCCAGGUUCGCAGGUUUGGCAGACCUGCACCACUCAUCAAGCCAUGCUGUGGCAGCAUCCCACAUGCAAACUAGAGGAAGACUGGCACAGAUGUUAGCUCAGGGUGAAUCUUCCUCAAGCAAACAAAAGAGGAAGAUUAGCAACAGGACCAAUCUUCCACAGCAAAAAAAAAUAAAAAUAAAAAAGACAAUAUAUAGAAGAGAAGAUAUUUGCAACAAAUAUAACAAACUUGUACCCAGGAUAUCUAAAGAAUUCCUUCUAACUAAUAAGACAGACAACCCAGUAGAAAAAUGGGCUAAGACUGGAACAAAAAGAGGAUAUAUUAAUAAUUAACAUAAAAAGUUACUCAGCCUCAUUAGUUAUCAAGUAAAUGCAAAUUGAAAUCACAGUUCAGUGCCACGACACUUACAAGAAUACGUAAAAUUAAAAGGAAAAAAAUAUAUCUAAUGUUGGCAAGGAUGUGGAGCAACACUGCAGGGCAGCCCUAGGUGGGACAGCCAUAACAAUGGGAAAGUGCUUGGUGGCAUCUCCGCAAGCUGGAUAUAGCCAUACCCUACGUCUCAGCUCUCGUUUUCUACCACAGAAAUUUGUAGAGUGUUCUCCAAAAGAAAUGAAUAAUAGCGCUAUUGGUAAUAGCCCCAAAUUGGGACCUGCCCAGAUGCCCAUUAACAGUAGGAUUUAUACAUUGUGGAUUAUUCAUACAACAGAAUACCACACAGCAGGAGAAUGAACAAUUUACAACGUUACAUGAACUUAUCAGUGAAUCUCACAAACAUAAUGUUGACUGAAAUAAGCCGGACACAAAAGAGGGCAUGCUGUAUGUUUCUAUUUAUGUGAAUUUCCAUCAGGCGAAUCUACUGUACCUGGACGGUGACAGCAGUCAGGGUGCAGUUGCCUCAGGGCACGGGAAACGGCCCGAGGGUCAGGAUUCUGGGGGGAGUGGUAACACGUCGAUUCUUGGUCUAACUACUGGUUACACAGGUGUGUCACCUGAUGAAAAGUCUUCAAGUCGAAAUUUAUUUUUGUACUUUUGUGAUUGUGUAUUACACUUUAAUGACACAAAAAUUAAAUUAAAAAUUUUCAAAAGCUAAAUGUUGAAAAAUUAAAGCUAAAUCACCUGACCUUAAAUUCAACAGGUAGAACUCUCAUUCAAGCAGUCACUAAGAGAAAUUCUUCCAGGUCAUCUUUCUCUCAAAAUAGAGCAACAGCACACAUUUUUGAGGAACGUUCUCUGAAACUGGCACAAACUGUUCCACCAUCCAGAAGUUUACGUAGCAAAUGGACUUUUAAGCAAGCAUCCUCUUUUCUUCAAGACGCGAUACUAUUUCACAGAGCGCCACUCCCCUCUAAAGCUCCCUGUUCCAAUUCAAUCCCAUUUUCUGACACGUCCCCAAAUCCCUGGCAGCUCAGGAAGACAUGGCGGAGGCCCGAAGGCUGCAGCUGUGGCCCCGCUCCUGCCUCUCUUCAGCCACGUGUGUUGCGGGAAGCGGGUCCAGGCUCGAAGAGCUGAAGUGACCUCCCCGGGGCCGUGCGGGCGUCAGGAGCCGCGCCAGGACUGAGGGCGCCGCUGCUGCAGUGCUGGCUGGACUCAGGGGGCCUCGGAGCGUUCCCACAGCCAGGUGAGCCAGGACUGCGCUAGAACACGCAAGCCCCCCGCCACUCAGACGCAAGAACAUGAAUACACUGUACAUUCAGCAUUCUUAGUUUUCAUUUUUAGGAUAGUUAUUGGGAUUGAAUUGUUGUCUUUUCUUUGAACAAAAGAAUGUUCUGUGCUUGUUAAAACUGUCUUUUAAAGUUUUCUUUUUAUUAAGAAAAGAAGAAGGCUUCAACUUCAAACACCAGCUUGAGGAAACUUUUGUAUUUAGCCAACAUUCAAGAGCCUGGACUGCGUCACACAGCCGGUCACGUGUACUGACAAGCUGCCUUGCGUGCUUCUCGUCUGAGGACAGUGCAGCCCGUGAGGGUGCCGGAAGACGUGUGCAGGCAUUUCUGGUUGUGACAAUAAGUGGGUAAUGCCACCCCAUGAGACCUGGGACAUCCCACACAACAAAAAAUAAUUUUGGCCCAAAUAAUAGCAGUCCUCCAAGAUACACUUACGCAUUCUUAAAUACAGGUUACUUUUAGGAAGAUCUGAACGGUCCACACUUCAGAGUAUUCAGUUUCACACCCCUCUGGGGGUCCUGCCUGGAAGCCCCG